AACUUGAGAGUUUGAUUCUGGCUCAGAACGAACGCUGGCGGCAUGCCUAACACAUGCAAGUCGAACGAUCUCUUCGGAGAUAGUGGCGCACGGGUGCGUAACGCGUGGGUAUCUGCCCUAGGGUGCGGAAUAACAGUUAGAAAUGACUGCUAAUACCGCAUAAUGUCUUCGGACCAAAGAUUCAUCGCCCUUGGAUGAGCCCGCGUAAGAUUAGCUAGUUGGUGGGGUAAAGGCCUACCAAGGCGACGAUCUUUAGCUGGUCUGAGAGGAUGAUCAGCCACACUGGGACUGAGACACGGCCCAGACUCCUACGGGAGGCAGCAGUGGGGAAUAUUGGACAAUGGGCGAAAGCCUGAUCC
rnacentral:rRNA from 1 species